UCUAAUUGUUAAUUCUCAUUCAAACUUUGUGUGCAGCUCUACCUUUAAGUUCUCAACUUAUUAUGUCAAAAUUCACCUUAUUCCAGUUGGUAGAUCUCGAGAUAUUACAAAAACCCUAAACAACCCCAAUAUGUCAGCUUUUGAUACCUCUUUACACUAAUGAUCAAAUAUCCUCUAUCCGUACCAUUAGAUUAACACAAAUUUUUGCAUGCACUUGGCAUACUCAACCAUCUAGACACCUCUAAAAUUUCAACUACAAAUGUCUUUCCAAUUUCACAAAACAAUCAAGAGU
rnacentral:lncRNA from 1 species